rnacentral:lncRNA from 10 species
CAGCCAAAGAGAUAUACUAACAAACAACAUUGAUGAGAAGGAGAUUCUGUUAAUAGGAGGAAGGAAAAGCAUCAAAGGCAGGGACAUGUAAAUCAGGAUGUUAAUGAAGAACUGAAUGCUCUCAGAUUUAAAGAGUUUCCAGGGACAUGGCCCACGGAACUAAAACAGGUAAAAUUUGGAAACGUGUCAUCGUAAAGCAGCAAGCUUCAGGU